AGCGAACGCUGGCGGCAGGCCUAACACAUGCAAGUCGAACGGAUCCUUCGGGAUUAGUGGCGGACGGGUGAGUAACACGUGGGAACGUGCCUUUUGGUUCGGAACAACUCAGGGAAACUUGAGCUAAUACCGGAUGUGCCCUUGGGGAAAGAUUUAUCGCCGUUAGAGCGGCCCGCGUCUGAUUAGCUAGUUGGUAGGGUAAAGGCCUACCAAGGCUACGAUCAGUAGCUGGUCUGAGAGGAUGAUCAGCCACAUUGGGGCUGAGACACGGCCCAAACUCCUACGGGAGGCAGCAGGUGGGGAAUCUUGCGCAAUGGGCGAAAGCCUGACGCAGCCAUGCCGCGUGAAUGAUGAA
rnacentral:rRNA from 1 species